rnacentral:rRNA from 1 species
AGUACCGUGAGGGAAAGGUGAAAAGAACCGCGGGAGCGGAGUGAAAGAGAACCUGAAACCGUAUGUCUACAAGCAGUCGGAGCGCAAGCGACGGCGUGCCUAUUGAAGAAUGAGCCAACGAGUUACGGGCACCAGCGAGGUUAAGCAGGAAAUGCGGAGCCGUAGGGAAACCGAGUCUGAAAAGGGCGGAUAGUUGGUGUUCGUAGACCCGAAACUGUAGUGAUCUACCCAUGAUCAGGUUGAAGCACGGGUAAAAUCGUGUGGAGGACCGAACCGGUGAGUGUUGAAAAACUUUCGGAUGAAUCGUGGGUAGCGGUGAAAUUCCAAUCGAACGCAGAGAUAGCUGGUUCUCCUCGAAAUAGCUUUAGGGCUAGCCUCAGGCAGUAAGCAUAGGCGGUAGAGCACUGAUCGGGAUAGGGACUGUAAUGGUUACCGAACCCUGUCAAACUACGAAUGACUAUGCUGCAGAGCCUGGGAGUCAGACUACGAGAGAUAAGUCCCGUUGUCAAAAGGGAAACAGCCCAGACCAUCAGCUAAGGUCCCCAAUGCCAUACUAAGUGGAAAAGGAUGUGGGGUCUCAUAAACAACCAGGAUGUUGGCUCAGAAGCAGCCACCAUUUAAAGAGUGCGUAAUAGCUCACUGGUCGAGAGGCCCUGCGCCGAAGAUUCCCGGGGCUAAAGUAUGGAACCGAAGCUAUGGAUGCAUACGUAAGUAUGCGUGGUAGAGGAGCGUUCCCAUCGGGCUGAAGCCGUACUGGAAGGUGCGGUGGACUGGUGGGAAGUGAGAAUGUUGGCAUGAGUAGCGAAAAGAAUGGUGAGAAUCCAUUCCACCGAAAGCAUAAGGAUUCCUGAGCAACGAUCGUCGUCUCAGGGUAAGUCGGGACCUAAUCCGAGGCAAAGAGCGUAGGAGAUGGACAACUGGUCGAUAUUCCAGUACCGGCAGUGAUCGUUUGAACGAAGGAGUGACGCAGGAAGGCAGGUCCGCACGAGAUUGGUAGAUCGUGUGCAAGCGUGCAGGCUGGCAAACAGGCAAAUCCGUUUGCUGAGGCUGAGGCGUGACGCGGAGGGAACUUGUUCCCGAAGGGAUUGAGCCUACGCUGCCGAGAAAAGCUUCUAGUGAGAAAGCUGCCGCCCGUACCGUAAACCGACACAGGUAUGCGGGGAGAGAAUCCUAAGGUGCGCGGGAGAACCCUCGUUAAGGAACUCGGCAAAAUGUACCCGUAACUUCGGGAUAAGGGUAGCCACAAAGGUGAAGGGACUUGCUCCUGGAGCCCGGUGUGGUCGCAGAGAAGAGGCCCAAGCGACUGUUAACCAGAAACACAGGUGCCUGCGAAAGAGAAAUCUGAAGUAUAGGUGCUGACACCUGCCCAGUGCUGGAAGGUUAAAGAAGGAUGUCCGGGUUCGACCCAAAGCAUUCGACUGAAGCCCCAGUGAACGGCGGCCGUAACUAUAACGGUCCUAAGGUAGCGAAAUUCCUUGUCGGGU